UUGGGUUGGAAUAUUCAAUUCGGGUCACCCAAAAUGGAUCUUAUAUAUUGUUUUCCAAAACCCUAGACAAAGCCUCCAUCUACGUUCUGCCUCUGAUCCAUACUCCAUUCUGGUUCCUGUUCGAACAAGCAUCGGAUUUGGUGGCCACGAUGAUCGGAAAUGGUGGUGGUGGUCGCCUGAAAAAUCGGAUAUGAUGCUAUGGUGGUUUCAGACCACCGUAUCACCACCACUUCUUUGUCAAUCGAUCGGCUUCAACCCUAAUCUCUUCUUCAGUCGGCUUCAAGGUUUCUCUCUCCAUCAAUUUCUCACUCAUCUCCAUCGAUUUCAAGGGUUUAAAAAAUCACAAUCCAAGAAACAUGAACUUUUUGAUGUUUACCGAUGUGAAAUUGCGAUUCGUAUUUCAAAUAUGUGAGACGAACACAGGCGACGGUGCCGGGAUAUUCGUUGGUUCGAUUUGGUGUUUAUCCUUUAUUAAUGGUGAUUGGUUUCAUCCUUAUAAGUUGAGAAGAUUGUAGAUGCGAAAAGUAUGUGAGUAAGGAAAAAGCAGCUCGUGGUAGUGGGAGAACUCAUUUCAUAAAGGGAAUCAUAUGCUCCACAACCUACCGAUACACCUUGAGAUUCAAAUAUUCGACAUGAACCAGCGCUCUUAAGAGUUAAGAUGGUAAACUAGAGCCAAUGCAUGAGUAUAAACCAGCCGGAAGAGCUCUUAAAAUUCAGUUCGCCAAACAUAUGCAUAUUGUCUUAAAUAAAAGCAUUUACAUUCUACUAAAGGACAUGAUGGUGUGGGUCACCAAAUGUUAAUGCUCAAGAAGACAAGCCAGCUUUUGAAACAGGCUGGCAACUAAGUAGAUCAUGAAGGAGAUGAAAUCUAUGGCAGUUGGGUUUUGUAAUUGUGGUGUGACUGCGGUUCAUGGUUGUAGGAGGUGUUACUCGAAGAUCACUAACUGGUUGCUACGAGCAUGUUACAACUAUGGUAUUUGCACUACCAAGUGGAUUAAUCUAAAACAAAUCCCCGCAGGAUUUCAAUGCACCACAAAUACUCACAGCAAGGAUUAUCUACACACAGGUAUAAUUACAUAUGUUCCUCUAAAAGUAUUCAUAUUCACACAACAAUGAUUACUUCAAUGCAUCUCUUGAUAGAUUGAGGGUCAUUAGGAUUUUUAUCAGCUUGAACCUGGCAUGGCUGCUUCACAAAAUAAGGCUUGGAUGGAACGACAGAUUGAACGACUGAAGGAUCCAUUAGGUUUCGGAAGAUGUCGGCAGAAUGAUGUGCGAAUGGAUGCGAUUGGAUGAGAAGGAUACAGGUGCGAAUGAAGUUGCAUAAACCCUAGGAUGUGAAUGAAGAUUAGAGAUGGAGAAGAGAGACGUAUGAUGGAAGGAACAAUAAGUGACCCAAAUUGCUUAUUCGGAUCCCGCGUCGGGUAUUACAUAAGGAAAAUCAAGAGAUUAGGAAAAUGGCGGGAAAAUGAGAUUUUGAGGCUCUAGAUGGGUGACAUGUGUCCCCUAAUUAAGGCUUUUAUUAGAUUGUAUAGAUUUGUAAUUGUAAUGGUCAUUAAAGCAUUAUAAUUUAUAUAAUUAGUAUAUUUUAUAGAGAAUUAGAUCAUCAAUGUAGCCUUACAAUCGGUGAUUAACAAUUAAAAUGGCAAUUAUUUUUUUA